rnacentral:rRNA from 1 species
GUCCUACGGGGCGCAGCAGUGAGGAAUAUUGGUCAAUGGGCUUACGCCUGAACCAGCCAAGUCGCGUGAGGGAAGACUGCCCUAUGGGUUGUAAACCUCUUUUGUCAGGGAGCAAUUGGCGCUACGUGUAGCGUUAUCGAGAGUACCUGAAGAAAAAGCAUCGGCUAACUACGUGCCAGCAGCCGCGGUAAUACGUAGGGGGUAAGCGUUAUCCGGAUUUACUGGGUGUAAAGGGAGCGUAGACGGCUGCGCAAGUCAGAAGUGAAAGCCCGGGGCGCAACCGCGGGACUGCUUUUGAAACUGUG